GUGUGUAUCUGUGUGUAAAAGUGUGUGUAUCUGUGUGUCAGUGUGUAUCUGUGUGCCACUAUGUGCCAGUGUGUGUGUGUAUCUGUUUGUCAGAUAAAUAUACACACACAGAUACACACUGACACACAGAUACAUACACUGGCACAUACAAA